GGGAAUUUUGGACAAUGGGGGCAACCCUGAUCCAGCAAUGCCGCGUGAGUGAAGAAGGCCUUCGGGUUGUAAAGCUCUUUUGUCAGGGAAGAAACACCGGCUCUAACACAGUCCGGGAAUGACGGUACCUGAAGAAUAAGCACCGGCUAACUACGUGCCAGCAGCCGCGGUAAUACGUAGGGUGCGAGCGUUAAUCGGAAUUACUGGGCGUAAAGCGUGCGCAGGCGGUUAUACAAGACAGGCGUGAAAUCCCCGGGCUUAACCUGGGAAUGGCGCCUGUGACUGUAUAGCUAGAGUGUGUCAGAGGGGGGUAGAAUUCCACGUGUAGCAGUGAAAUGCGUAGAUAUGUGGAGGAAUACCAAUGGCGAAGGCAGCCCCCUGGGAUAACACUGACGCUCAUGCACGAAAGCGUGGGGAGCAAACAGGAUU
rnacentral:rRNA from 1 species